GGAGAGAGUGUGCAGCAAUAACUCUGGGGUUACCUCAGCCAAUGAGCUACAAGAACUAAGAGCACUGGCUGUUUUAGCAGCAGAUCUGACACCUCCUCAAUUAGAGCCCCUGGCAGCAGUGCCCAGGGAAAGGUUCUCUAAGGAACAUGAGAGCCCAGCUGGAAAGGCUCUUUCUGCUUUGGCCACUUCUCCUGUCUCUGUGGAUGGGAGCCACAGAAAAUACUGCUGCUGUCAUUGUGGUUAAUCAGACACCUCUUUCUAUCCGUGCAAUGGAAGGGUCAGAGUUCACCAUCAAGUGUACAUUCAACACAAGCAAUAAUUCAACCAGGUGGUUUGUUGAAUGGAAUAAAAUCAGAAACAAUGUAACAGAAAAGGUGUCCAAUGGAACAGAUCGAAUCACAUCAGCAGAUAAAGAAAAGAGGUCUCUUUCCCUCACUGUGAAGAAAGCCAGCGUCACUGAUUCUGGAACCUACGUGUGUAGGGUUGGGAGCAAAGAUGUGAUAUAUCCUGGGACCGGAACCCAAGUGACCAUUGAAGGAUUCAGACAUUACAGACCUCGUGUUCAAUCAGAGUCCAGCCAAGAUCAGGGAUUCGGAAGGGUCAGAUCUCACAAGGGAGUGGAGAUUCAGGACCCCAGAAAACCCAAACCCCAGAGACGUGGAAUGGCACAAGCACAAUGGAACUGGAGGAAAAGGAGCUAAUGAGCGAAAGGGGCUUAGGUCACAGCUGCUCGAUAUUUGGAAGAGGGUUUCACACCUCUGAAGAAAGCAA